AAGGAUUGGCUCUGAGGGCU
rnacentral:snRNA from 1 species